ensembl:snRNA U6 U6 spliceosomal RNA
GUGCUUGCUUCGAAGCACAUAUACUGAAGUUGGAACAAUACAGAGAAGAUUAGCAUGGCCCCUUUGCAAGGAAGACAUGCAGAAUAACAGGGACAGAGGUGUGGUAC